CAGUAGCCACGGUAAUACGAAGGGUGCAAGCGUUAAUCGGAAUUACUGGGCGUAAAGCGUGCGUAGGCGGUUUGUUAAGACAGAUGUGAAAUCCCCGGGCUCAACCUGGGAACUGCAUUUGUGACUGGCAAGCUAGAGUGUGGCAGAGGGGGGUGGAAUUCCGCGUGUAGCAGUGAAAUGCGUAGAUAUGCGGAGGAACACCGAUGGCGAAGGCAGCCCCCUGGGCCAACACUGACGCUCAUGCACGAAAGCGUGGGGAGCAAACAGGAUUAGAUACCCGCGUAGUCCCUGUCUCUUAUAC
rnacentral:rRNA from 1 species